UACAUUUGAAUUGUGCAAUGAUAUUUAAUUACACAUUUUGGCAUUAUGAAGUCCUAUUCUUUGUUUCAUUUAAUGCUAUUUUUCCUGAAUUCCACAUAGUCUGGUAUAAAGAUUGUGACUUUUCUGGGUCAUCAUAACUCACUGCAACUUCAAACUGCUGGGCUCAAGCCAUCCUCCUGUCUCAGCCUCCCAAGUAAUUGGACUACACGUGGGAACCACUUAGCCCAGCUAAUUUUUCUAUUUUUCUUUGUAGAGAUGGGGUCUCACUCUUGCUCAGGCCUAUCUUGAACACCUGACCUCAAGUGAUCCUCCUGCCUUGGCCUCCCAGAGUGCUAGGAUUAUAGGUGUAAACAACCAUGCCAAGCCUGAACAGGAAGUUGGAUUUGGAAGAGAACUCAAGGAACUUCAUUUCUGGAAACUGAGGCUAGAGAUUUGCUCAACAUCACCUAGAUUCUUCAUGGCUAAGUCAUGACCACAACCAGUUCUCUGGAUUAUAGAAGAAAUAUGAAAUGAAUUAUCCUCACACACCUGCCAGAUAAGGAGGAUAAUUUGCAUGCAAUCGAAGGACCACAUGCUUCUUUGCUUAAAGUGACUGUGAUGGGUCCCAAGAUGAAGGAGCACCUUGAAUAUGGGACAUGCCGAUAUCAAGGAAGGGAAAGAAAGAAGAGCUAAACAAAGCAAUUAAUCUUAGAGCUAUUUUUCAGAAGGGGCACACAUUACUUCCACUCAUAUUUCAUUGACAAAGGCAAUUAUUCAGCCCAAGCUUGAUGUCAUUAGGGAAGACAUAAUUCUCUAAUAGGAAUGAACUUUUAAGGAGGGACUCUGUUAGGGGAGAACAACUAUUUUUACAAUAAUACAGUUUACCAUGGGCUUGUGUGUACCUAGUUGCUAUGACAGAGAACAGAGAGCUUUCACAAGGGCAAAUACUUAUCCUGUAAGUGGCACUUUACUUCAACCCUCUCCUUAUUGGCUAAAAGAAGUCUAAUACCCCAAUCUAAGUAUAAGGAGGCCAGAAAGUACUCUAUUCUGGCUUGGAAGUGUGGAUGUGAAGCAUUUGUCAGCCAGAACUAAUUAAAUAGAUAGAAUGUUGUUGAUAUUGGCAAGCUGCCCUACUGGUUGUCCAUUUGGACAUUGUAAGCUUCAGAUGACAGAGCUGAAACUCAGAUAUACAGGCAAAGAGUUUAUAAAACAGAGGUUAGAAUGCAGUUUGUUGUGUUGAAAUUGAACAUCCUCUGUGUGACAGAACCAAGUCUCUGUUAGCACUACAAAAUUUGAAUCAGAGAACCAUAGAAUAUUAAGUGCAAAAAUAGAAAUGAGUGGUCCCUUGUUCAAAAUACAAAGCUUUUUCCUUUAUGUCAUGGUCUUUUCCCUGAUCUGUCAUAGUGUUUUUUCUAUCUGCUAUGAUGUUACACUUUCUGUAGCACAAGGAUGCUUACAUGCCAUGCAUAGACUCUUACACACACUCUGUCCCAUAAUUUGCUGUUCACAGUAUGGAUAUCUAAUCUCAACCCUUCCCAAGACCCCAAGACCCCACAAGCACAAAGAAUGUGUGGAAAUGGAUGUCUGAGCCUCUAUUCCAGGAAGAUGGGAGGAGCAUAGGUAAGACUGUGUGAGUCAAACCUCCAAGCCCCCAUGCAUGCUCCAUUGGUUGUCCCAUUGGAUUUCACUUACAAAACACAAAUUCAGAUUAUUAAAAUUUCAAAAUGGAGACCACAUCCUAUGGGGCUGCAUUGGUCAAAUAUACGUGAAGCUGGUCUUGGUUGGAAGAGUCAGAAAAAGCCAACUACAUAUAAUAUCCAACUCAACCCAGGAGCUGUCUUAUACUUAUACAAUUGUAUUAAAUGUCUCAUAUUUCUAAAAUUGAAGAUUGAGUAUAUUAUAAAAGCUAAGAUGGAAAUGUCAGCUUCUGGCACUGUUAAAUAUGAAUAUUAGUUCUGGCAUGGGGCCCCAUAGAAACCUUCAGCCCUGAUGACAGGUGAGUUUAGCUGGAAGCCCAGUGAAAGUGAAUAUGUGGCCUUGGGCAAAUCCAGCUCUGAGCAUCAGUGUUUUCAUCUGUAAUGUGUGGGCUAAGGGAUAACUGUCUUAAUCUGCUCAGGCUGCCAUGAAAAAUACCCUUGAGGGCGUGGAUUAAACAAUAGAAAUUGGUUUCUCACAGUUCUGGAGGCUGGAACUCUAAGAUCAAGGUGCUGGCAAGGCAGGUUUCAUUCUGAAGCCUCUUCUCUUGGCUUGCUGGUGGCCAUCACCUCACUGUAUCCUCAGAUGGGAGAGAGAGAGAGAGAGAGAGAGAGAGAGAGAGAGAGAGAGCGCUCUCCAUAUCUCUUCUUAUAAAACCAUUAAUCCCAUCAGACAAGGGACCCACCUUAAUGACGUCAUCUAAUCCAAAUUACUUCCCCAAAGCCCCAUUUCUAAAUACCAUCACACUGGGGAUUGGAGAUUGAACAUAAGAAAUUUGGGCAUACACAAACAUUGAGUUCAUAGCCGUAACUAUUGGUUAUUCUUAUCUUGGUAAUUAUUCCAGAUAUUACAUUUAAAGGAUCUGGAAUUCAGACAGGCUAGCAUGUUAUGAAUAAGAAAUUGUGGCUAACUUCUGCAAUACUCAGAAUUGACACAUAAUGACCAAUUGAGAGAUGUAGCAAGUUUUCUUUGGUUUAAUAAAGAAAACAGGUUGCUAGAGAGGAUUUUUUUUCUGUAUUAUAUUUUCACUUCUAAGCCACACCAUUAUUGCUCUUUUUAUAUUUUAUGGUGAUAUAAACAAUAUAAUAUUGAUAAAUAUGUCUACAUUAUAAAGUGUUUGAAUCCAAAACCCAAUUUAAUAACUAGCAUAUCUCAAACACUACAUGUGCUCACUCAUAUAUAGAGGUUUAAAAAGUUGAUUUCAUAGAAGUAGAGAGGAGAAUAGUGGUUCCUAGAGGCAGGGAAGUGUUGGGGGCAGGGGUGUAGCCAAAGGUGUGUUAAUGGAUACUAAAGUACAGCUAAAUAGGAGAAAUAAGUUACAGUGUUUUAUAGUGCUAUAGAGUGACUGGAAUUAACAACAAUUUAUUGUAUAGUUUCAAAUAGCUAGCAGAGUGAAUUGUGAAUGUUCCAAACACAAAGAAAUGAUAAAUAUUUGAGAUUAUGGCUCACUAAUCAACCUGAUUUAAUAAUUACACAUUAUGUACAUAUAUUGAAAUAUCACAGUGUCUGAUAAAUAUGUACAAUUAUUAUUAUUAUU